rnacentral:rRNA from 1 species
AGUAGUUUCGUAUCCUGGCUCAGGACGACGCUGGCGGCGUGCUUAACACAUGCAAGUCGACGGAAAGGCCCCCACCAUUUUUGGUGGGGGUUGCUCGAGUGGCGAACGGGUGAGUAACACGUGGGUGAUCUGCCCUGUACUUCGGGAUUAAGCUUGGGAAACUAGGGUCUAAUACCGGAUAGGACCAUGGUUUAGUGUCUCAUGGUGGAAAGAUUAUUGUUUUGGUGCAGGAUGAGCUCGCGGCCUAUCAGCUUGUUGGUGGGGUAAUGGCCUACCAAGGCGUCGACGGGUAGCCGGCCUGAGAGGGUGGACGGCCACAUUGGGACUGAGAUACGGCCCAGACUCCUACGGGAGGCAGCAGUGGGGAAUAUUGCACAAUGGGCGCAAGCCUGAUGCAGCGACGCCGCGUGGGGGAUGACGGCCUUCGGGUUGUAAACUCCUUUCGUUAGGGACGAAGCCACAUUUUUUUGGGCGUGGUGACGGUACCUUUGUUAAGAAGCACCGGCUAACUACGUG